rnacentral:rRNA from 1 species
GACGUAGGGCGCGAGCGUUGUCCGGAUUUAUUGGGCGUAAAGAGCUCGUAGGCGGCUUGUCGCGUCGAAUGUGAAAACUCGGGGCUCAACUCCGGGCCUGCAGUCGAUACGGGCUGGCUUGAGUGCGGUAGGGGAGACUGGAAUUCCUGGUGUAGUGGUGAAAUGCGCAGAUAUCAGGAGGAACACCGGUGGCGAAGGCGGGUCUCUGGGCCGUAACUGACGCUGAGGAGCGAAAGCGUGGGGAGCGAACAGG